GGAUGUGAGGGCGAUCUGGCUGCGACAUCUGUCACCCCAUUGAUCGCCAGGGUUGAUUCGGCUGAUCUGGCUGGCUAGGCGGGUGUCCCCCUCCUCCCUCACCGAUCCAUGUGCGUCCCUCCAAUCAUAUGGUAUCUAUCUAUCUAUCUAUCUAUCUAUCUAUCUAUCCUUAUAUUGUGAUAUAUAUUUUUAAAAAGAUGUACCAUAAUACCUAGAGCUAUUUUCAAUUUUUAUGUUUUUAUUUUCUAAAAGUAUUUAUUCCAUU
rnacentral:snRNA from 1 species